GACGAACGCUGGCGGCGUGCCUAAUACAUGCAAGUAGAACGCUGAAGAGAGGAGCUUGCUCUUCUUGGAUGAGUUGCGAACGGGUGAGUAACGCGUAGGUAACCUGCCUGGUAGCGGGGGAUAACUAUUGGAAACGAUAGCUAAUACCGCAUAAAAUGGAUUAUCGCAUGAUAAUCCAUUGAAAGGUGCAAAUGCAUCACUACCAGAUGGACCUGCGUUGUAUUAGCUAGUUGGUGGGGUAACGGCUCACCAAGGCGACGAUACAUAGCCGACCUGAGAGGGUGAUCGGGCACACUGGGACCGAGGCACGGCCCCGGCUCCUACGGGAGGCAGCAGUAGGGAAUCUUCCGCAAUUGACGGAAGUCUGACCGAGCAACGCCGCGGGAGGGAAGAAGGUUCUCGGAUCGUAAAGCUCUGUUGUAAGAGAAGAACGAGUGUGAGAGUGGAAAGUUCACACUGUGACGGUAUCUAACCAGAAAGGGACGGCUAACUACGUG
rnacentral:rRNA from 1 species